ACUGGCCAUUCCUGUCAGGCAUUUAGCACCCCUUCCUUCACCCAUGUGCACGCGCAUUUACGCAGCGCCACUCACCCACUCCUGUCCAUAGCUGUCCUCCAGGUCAUUCAUGGUUCGGUCAUCCCAGUCAAGGCGGAUACCCAGCAGCCGUGAUGGCAGGAAACCGUUCUCUGCCAGGAUUACGAAGCCUGUGCUUGUCUUCUCUGUAACCAUCACAGCCUGGCCAGCUGCCCCUGAGUCCCCUCUCCUUCCCUCCUCUGCUCCUCCCACCCACUGUGCCCACAUGGCUGCCUCGCCUGUCCCCUUCUCCACCUCUGGGCUCACCAUGUCUGUGCCCAGGUCGAUGCAGAGGAUGGUCACAGUGCCCAGAGGCAGGGGGAUAUUGACGAUGAUGAACAGCAGGAAGGGGGUGAUCUCAGGGAUGUUGCUGGUCAGGGUGUAAGCGAUGGAUUUCUUCAGGUUGUCAAAGAUCAGGCGGCCUGUGGGGAGGUUCUGAGGGCAUCAGGGAGGUCAGAGGGACCCUUCCCCACCCCUGGCCCCAGAAGCGUGGCUACCCGUUUUCCUGAGAGAGGAAGAGUUGGUAUUUGAGGGAAGCUGAAGCAGGUGGGGCUGCCUGAAGUCCCGGGUGACUUUUCAGCUGGGGCAAAGGCAAGGGACGCAGGUGCGCAGCGUCAGCCAUCCCAGACGCCACCCAGCCCUCGCGGUCUUCUCACCCUCCUCCACCCCUGUGACGAUGGAGGCAAAGUUGUCGUCCAGCAGGAUCAUGUCGGCUGCCUGCUUAGAGACGUCAGAGCCAGCAAUGCCCAUGGCAAUGCCAAUGUCAGCCUUCUUCAGCGCAGGGGAGUCGUUCACGCCGUCACCCGUCACGGCCACGAUGGCUCCCUGGGGAGAGGACACAGCCAGAGCUCCAGGAGGAAGCCUCUGGCCAAGUCCGGCCCUUUGCCCUGUCCCUGCCUCCCAUCCCUCCCGCCAUCUGCCUCCUGAGGCAGUGCUCACCUGCCUCUGGCAACCCUCCACGAUGAUGAGCUUCUGCUGAGGAGACGUCCGGGCAAACACAAUCUCCGUGUGGUUCUUGAGGAUCUCGUCGAGCUGCUCCGAUGUCAUGUCCUUCAGUUUGGAUUUCAUGGGAUUCAAGGCAGUCAGAGCUGGAAGAACCCUUUAACACCUCCUUCGUUUUACAAAUGAGGAAACCAAGACUUAGAGAGGGCCUACGAUUUGCUCAAGGUCUCAGCGACCCAGAACUGGGACCUGAUGUUCCGAGUAUCUGAUGUGAUCACUGCGGCAAUCUAACUGGACAAGCCACGGAAAGACAGCCACAGCAGCCCUGCCUUCACCGCCUUACUCAUCUGCCGCUGACAUCCAACGUGGGGCGCCUCUCCCAGGAUGAUGUUCAUGGCUGUCUUUGCAGCGCAGGUCACUUCACCAAGUCUCAGCACAGCGAAGAAGACGAUUCCUACCGUUCCAGGUGGUCAUGAAGAUUACACGGCAUUAGGUGGAUGCUCAAUAAAUGUUAGCUGUGUCCUUCCUCCCACCUCCUCCUCACUACUUCAUCUUCCUGCACUUGCCCCUAAAUGUUGGUGUGGCCCCAGUUUUCAUUCUCCUCCCUUUCCUUGACCCAU